rnacentral:sRNA from 1 species
UUUUCGCAAUAGGGAUCGCAGUGAAAAUCCUUUUUUCCGCAGCGGCGAAGCCGCCGCGGAAAAAAGAUUGCAGCGGAGAGCCCGACCCGAG